rnacentral:tRNA from 1 species
AAGUUUGAAAUAAAUAUUUUAUAUUCAGUUUCGACCUGAAAUUAUAGUUAAUCAAUUAACUCUAACUUA